AAUCAAGCGUUUAAGGGCGUGUAGUGGAUGCCUUGGCACUGAAAGCCGAUGAAGGACGUGAUAUACUGCGAUAAGUUUCGGGGAGCUGUAUGUAAGCUUUGAUCCGAAAAUUUCCGAAUGGGGAAACCCACCACUUUAUGUGGUACUUUAAACUGAAUACAUAGGUUUAAAGAGACAACCUGGAGAACUGAAACAUCUAAGUAACCAGAGGAAAAGAAAUCAAUUGAGAUUCCGUUAGUAGUGGCGAGCGAACGCGGAGUAGGCCAGUAGUUUUGUUAGAAAAAUUUGAAUAGUUUGGAAAUGCUAACCAUAGAGGGUGAUAGUCCCGUAUGAGUAAUGUCUAACAAAAUUCUUGAGUAAAGCGGGACACGAGAAAUCCUGCUCGAAUAUAGGGGGACCACCCUCUAAGCCUAAAUACUCUUCAGUGACCGAUAGUGAACUAGUACCGUGAGGGAAAGGUGAAAAGAACCCCUAUUAGGGGAGUGAAAUAGAACCUGAAACUGCAUGCCUACAAUCAGUCCGAGCCCUUUUUAGGGUGAGGGCGUACCUUUUGUAUAAUGGGUCAGUGACUUAAUUUAUUAAGCAAGCUUAAGCCAUCUAGGUGUAGGCGCAGCGAAAGCAAGUCUUAAUAGGGCGAUUAGUUUAAUGAAUUAGACCCGAAAACGAAUGAGCUUACCAUGAGCAGGUUGAAAGUUGGGUAACACCAACCGGAGGACCGAACCAGUUGACGUUGAAAAGUCUUUGGAUGACUUGUGGUAAGGGGUGAAAGGCCAACCAAAUUCGUAGAUAGCUGGUUUUCCGCGAAAACUAUUUAGGUAGUGCGUCGAAUAAAUAGAUGUUUAGAGGUAGAGCACUAAAUGGGCUAGGGGGAAGAGAUUCUU
rnacentral:rRNA from 1 species